UACGGAGGAUCCAAGCGUUAUCCGGAAUCAUUGGGUUUAAAGGGUCCGUAGGCGGCCUUAUAAGUCAGUGGUGAAAGUUUUUGGCUUAACCAAAAAAUUGCCAUUGAUACUGUAGGGCUUGAAUAUCUGUGAAGUAACUAGAAUAUGUAGUGUAGCGGUGAAAUGCUUAGAUAUUACAUGGAAUACCGAUUGCGAAGGCAGGUUACUAACAGAUGAUUGACGCUGAUGGACGAAAGCGUGGGUAGCGAACAGG
rnacentral:rRNA from 1 species